GCGGGCGUGGCGGAAUCGGUAGACGCUGGGGACUUAAAAUCCUCUGCCAUUGGCGUGCGGGUUCGAGUCCCGCCGCCCGCACCA
rnacentral:tRNA from 5 species